UACAGAGGGGGCAAGCGUUGUUCGGAAUUACUGGGCGUAAAGGGCGCGUAGGCGGCCCGCUAAGUCGAACGUGAAAUCCCUGGGCUCAACCCAGGAACUGCGUCCGAUACUGGCAGGCUUGAAUCCGGGAGAGGGAUGCGGAAUUCCAGGUGUAGCGGUGAAAUGCGUAGAUAUCUGGAGGAACACCGGUGGCGAAGGCGGCAUCCUGGACCGGUAUUGACGCUGAUGCGCGAAAGCCAGGGGAGCAAACGGG
rnacentral:rRNA from 1 species